GAGCACGUAGGUGGGUUUGUAAGUCAGAUGUGAAAGCCUUCUGUUCAACGGGAGAAUUGCAUCUGAAACUACAGACCUUGAGUAUAGGAGGGGAGAAUGGAACUUCUGGUGGAGCGGUGAAAUGCGUAGAUAUCAGAAGGAACGCCGGCGGCGAAAGCGAUUCUCUGGCCUAUUACUGACACUCAGUGUGCGAAAGCUAGGGGAGCAAACGGGAUUAGAUACCCCGGUAGUCCUAGCCGUAAACGAUGGGCACUAAGUAGAGGGG
rnacentral:rRNA from 1 species